rnacentral:rRNA from 1 species
GUAGGUGGCAAGCGUUGUCCGGAAUUAUUGGGCGUAAAGCGCGCGCAGGUGGUUCUUUAAGUCUGAUGUGAAAGCCCCCGGCUCAACCGGGGAGGGUCAUUGGAAACUGGGGAACUUGAGUGCAGGAGAGGAAAGUGGAAUUCCACGUGUAGCGGUGAAAUGCGUAGAUAUGUGGAGGAACACCAGUGGCGAAGGCGACUUUCUGGCCUGUAACUGACACUGAGGCGCGAAAGCGUGGGGAGCAAACAGGGAUUAGAUACCCUGGUAGUCCACGCCGUAAACGAUGAGUGCUAAGUGUUGGGGGGGGUUUCCGCCCCCUCAGUGCUGCAGCUAACGCAUUAAGCACUCCGCCUGGGAUACGGUCGCAAGACUG